rnacentral:rRNA from 1 species
UGGGGAAUAUUGCACAAUGGGCGCAAGCCUGAUGCAGCAACGCCGCGUGAACGAUGAAGGUCUUCGGAUCGUAAAGUUCUGUUGCAGGGGAAGAUAAUGACGGUACCCUGUGAGGAAGCCCCGGCUAACUACGUGCCAGCAGCCGCGGUAAUACGUAGGGGGCUAGCGUUGUCCGGAAUUAUUGGCGUAAAGGGUACGUAGGCGGUCUAUUAAGUCAGGUGUGAAAGCGUGAGGCUUAACCUCAUUAAGCACUUGAAACUGAUAGACUUGAGUGAAGGAGAGGAAAGUGGAAUUCCUAGUGUAGCGGUGAAAUGCGUAGAUAUUAGGAGGAAUACCGGUGGCGAAGGCGACUUUCUGGACUUUUACUGACGCUCAGGUACGAAAGCGUGGGGAGCAAACAGG